AAAGGCAUAGCUCAGUGGUACAGCAUGUGCUUAACAUGCACAAGGUCCUGGAUUCAAUGCCCAGUACCUCCA
rnacentral:tRNA from 1 species